rnacentral:rRNA from 1 species
GAUGAACGCUGGCGGCGUGCCUAACACAUGCAAGUCGAGCGGAGAUUUCCGGAGUACUUGUACAAAGGAGAUCUUAGCGGCGGACGGGUGAGUAACACGUGAGCAAUCUGCCUUUCACAGGGGAAUAACACUGGGAAACCAGUGCUAAUACCGCAUGAUGUCCAUGCCUGGCAUCGGGGAUGGACCAAAGGCGUAAUCCGGUGAAAGAUGAGCUCGCGUCCGAUUAGGUAGUUGGUGAGGUAACGGCCCACCAAGCCUACGAUCGGUAGCCGGACUGAGAGGUUGAACGGCCACAUUGGGACUGAGACACGGCCCAGACUCCUACGGGAGGCAGCAGUGGGGAAUAUUGGGCAAUGGGGGAAACCCUGACCCAGCAACGCCGCGUGAAGGAUGAAGGCUUUCGGGUUGUAAACUUCUUUGAUCAGGGACGAAACAAUGACGGUACCUGAGGAACAAGCCACGGCUAACUACGUGCCAGCCGCCGCAGUAACAC